rnacentral:rRNA from 1 species
AUUGAACGCUGGCGGCAGGCCUAACACAUGCAAGUCGAGCGAGCGGCGGACGGGUGCGGAAUACAUCGGAAUCUACUCUGUCGUGGGGGAUAACGUAGGGAAACUUACGCUAAUACCGCAUACGAUUGAAUGAGCCGAUGGCGGAGUAGCUAGUUGGCGGGGUAAAGGCCCACCAAGGCGACGAUCCGUAGCUGGUCUGAGAGGAUGAUCAGCCACACUGGAACUGAGACACGGUCCAGACUCCUACGGGAGGCAGCAGUGGGGAAUAUUGGACAAUGGGCGCAAGCCUGAGCCAGCCAUGCCGCGUGGGUGAAGAAGGCCUUCGGGUUGUAAAGCCCUUUUGUUGGGGAAGCGUUACCCAAAGAAUAAGCACCGGCUAACUUCGUGCCAGCAGCCGCGGUAAUUC